UACGGAGGGUGCAAGCGUUGUCCGGAUUUAUUGGGUUUAAAGGGUGCGUAGGCGGCCCGUUAAGUCAGUGGUGAAAGCCUCCAGCUCAACUGGAGAACUGCCAUUGAUACUGGCGGGCUUGAGUACAGACGAGGUUGGCGGAAUUGAUUGUGUAGCGGUGAAAUGCAUAGAUACAGGCAAGAACACCGAUUGCGUAGGCAGCUAACUAGGCUGUAACUGACGCUGAGGCACGAAAGCGUGGGGAGCGAACAGG
rnacentral:rRNA from 1 species